rnacentral:rRNA from 1 species
AUACGGAGGGGGCUAGCGUUGUUCGGAAUUACUGGGCGUAAAGCGCACGUAGGCGGAUUAAAAAGUUAGAGGUGAAAUCCCGGGGCUUAACCCUGGAACUGCCUUUAAAACUAGUAGUCUAGAGUUCGAGAGAGGUGAGUGGAAUUCCAAGUGUAGAGGUGAAAUUCGUAGAUAUUUGGAGGAACACCAGUGGCGAAGGCGGCUCACUGGCUCGAUACUGACGCUGAGGUGCGAAAGCGUGGGGAGCAAACAGGAUUAGAAACCCUAGUAGUCC